AAGUCGUAACAAGGUUUCCGUAGGUGAACCUGCGGAAGGAUCAUUGCCAUAUGUAUCCAUAUAAACACCUGUGAACUUUGCUUAUUUGCAUUUCCGUUCGUUGUUGAGUGGGCGUUGCAAUGUGCGCUAGUGGAGCUCUUGAGUAGUGGUAGCUUCCGUCGCAUUGUACUCAUCCUUUAUUGGAUGACCUGCUUGACACGAGCGUGUAUUCCACUGCUCAUCUUCUUAUUCAAUUAUUAACACCUUGUACCCAUUGUGAACUGAACAUAACGCAUUGUUUUAGCAGCCGCAGCAGCUCGAAAUUGGGUUGGGCGCGUGACUUAAGUUACGCCUCACUCGGUGUGCGUAGCAGCCGCAGCUUGCAAACGAGCAGUGUCGUAAAUGUACGAAACGUGCGAACAACUCUUAACAACGGAUAUCUUGGUUCUC
rnacentral:misc_RNA from 1 species